AUGGCGCCGGCUGCGGACUGCGCCACCACGACCACGUACCACAGCGUGUGCACGAUCGAGAAGGUCAGGAUCGCGCUGGAACAGUUCGAGCGCGGCAAGCUGGGGCACCACCAGCAGCAACACGGCGGUGCAGGCGCGGGCGCCUCCCCGUCGUCAUCCGUCAAGCGCUGCAGCGAUGCCAGCGUCGUGGAGCAGGGCGACGGUUGCGACUCCCUGUCCGCCAGCGCCGGCGGCGGGGGCAUGGCACGGAAAAGUGAAUGGAACAAAAAAACUAAACAAAUCAGUGCACUGACAAUAAUCGACCCAAUAGUUACUAAGGUGUAA
rnacentral:rRNA from 1 species